GACGAACGCUGGCGGCGUGCCUAAUACAUGCAAGUAGAACGCAUAUUCGCACGGGUGAGUAACGCGUAGGUAACUGCCUCAUAGCGGGGGGUAACUAUUGGAAACGCUAGCUAAUACCGCAUACUGUAAGAUGUCCCUGCGUUGUAUUAGCUAGUUGGUGAGGUAAAGGCUCACCAAGGCGACGAUCCAUAGCCGACCUGAGAGGGUGAUCGGCCACACUGGGACUGAGACACGGCCCAGACUCCUACGGGAGGCAGCAGUAGGGAAUCUUCGGCAAUGGACGGAAGUCUGACCGAGCAACGCCGCGUGAGUGAAGAAGGUUUUCGGAUCGUAAAGCUCUGUUGUUAGAGAAGCGGUAACUAAACAGAAAGGGACGGCUAACUACGUGCCAGCAGCCGCGGUAAUUC
rnacentral:rRNA from 1 species